rnacentral:hammerhead_ribozyme from 1 species
AUUCAGCUGACGAAUCCUACAUAGGAAGAAACGCAAGUCCAGAAU